rnacentral:rRNA from 1 species
AAAAGGUGGCUAUGCUACCGCUUUUGGAUGGGCCCGCGGCGCAUUAGCUAGUUGGUGGGGUAAAGGCUUACCAAGGCAAUGAUGCGUAGCCGAACUGAGAGGUUGAUCGGCCACAUUGGGACUGAGACACGGCCCAAACUCCUACGGGAGGCAGCAGUAGGGAAUCUUCCACAAUGGGCGAAAGCCUGAUGGAGCAACGCCGCGUGGGUGAAGAAGGUCUUCGGAUCGUAAAACCCUGUUGUUAGAGAAGAAAGUGCGUGAGAGUAACUGUUCACGUUUCGACGGUAUCUAACCAGAAAGCCACGGCUAACUACGUGCCAGCAGCCGCGGUAAUACGUAGGUGGCAAGCGUUAUCCGGAUUUAUUGGGCGUAAAGGGAACGCAGGCGGUCUUUUAAGUCUGAUGUGAAAGCCUUCGGCUUAACCGGAGUAGUGCAUUGGAAACUGGGAGACUUGAGUGCAGAAGAGGAGAGUGGAACUCCAUGUGUAGCGGUGAAAUGCGUAGAUAUAUGGAAGAACACCAAUGGCGAAAGCGGCUCUCUGGUCUGUAACUGACGCUGAGGUUCGAAAGCGUGGGUAGCAAACAGGAUUAGAUACCCUGGUAGUCCACGCCGUAAACGAUGAAUGCUAAGUGUUGGAGGGUUUCCGCCCUUCA